UACGUAGGCAGCAAGCGUUGUUCGGAAUUACUGGGCGUAAAGAGUUCGUAGGCGGUGCGGCAAGUUCGGUGUGAAAUCUCCCGGCUCAACUGGGAGGGUGCGCUAAAUACUGCCGUGCUCGAGUAUAGGAGAGGUAAGCGGAAUUCCUGGUGUAGCGGUGAAAUGCGUAGAUAUCAGGAGGAACACCUGUGGUGUAGACGGCUUACUGGACUAUAACUGACGCUGAGGAACGAAAGCGUGGGGAUCAAACAGG
rnacentral:rRNA from 1 species